UAGAGUUUGAUCAUGGCUCAGGACGAACGCUGGCGGCGUGCCUAAUACAUGCAAGUCGAACGAACUCUGGUAUUGAUUGGUGCUUGCAUCAUGAUUUACAUUUGAGUGAGUGGCGAACUGGUGAGUAACACGUGGGAAACCUGCCCAGAAGCGGGGGAUAACACCUGGAAACAGAUGCUAAUACCGCAUAACAACUUGGACCGCAUGGUCCGAGUUUGAAAGAUGGCUUCGGCUAUCACUUUUGGAUGGUCCCGCGGCGUAUUAGCUAGAUGGUGGGGUAACGGCUCACCAUGGCAAUGAUACGUAGCCGACCUGAGAGGGUAAUCGGCCACAUUGGGACUGAGACACGGCCCAAACUCCUACGGGAGGCAGCAGUAGGGAAUCUUCCACAAUGGACGAAAGUCUGAUGGAGCAACGCCGCGUGAGUGAAGAAGGGUUUCGGCUCGUAAAACUCUGUUGUUAAAGAAGAACAUAUCUGAGAGUAACUGUUCAGGUAUUGACGGUAUUUAACCAGAAAGCCACGGCUAACUACGUGCCAGCAGCCGCGGUAAUACGUAGGUGGCAAGCGUUGUCCGGAUUUAUUGGGCGUAAAGCGAGCGCAGGCGGUUUUUUAAGUCUGAUGUGAAAGCCUUCGGCUCAACCGAAGAAGUGCAUCGGAAACUGGGAAACUUGAGUGCAGAAGAGGACAGUGGAACUCCAUGUGUAGCGGUGAAAUGCGUAGAUAUAUGGAAGAACACCAGUGGCGAAGGCGGCUGUCUGGUCUGUAACUGACGCUGAGGCUCGAAAGUAUGGGUAGCAAACAGGAUUAGAUACCCUGGUAGUCCAUACCGUAAACGAUGAAUGCUAAGUGUUGGAGGGUUUCCGCCCUUCAGUGCUGCAGCUAACGCAUUAAGCAUUCCGCCUGGGGAGUACGGCCGCAAGGCUGAAACUCAAAGGAAUUGACGGGGGCCCGCACAAGCGGUGGAGCAUGUGGUUUAAUUCGAAGCUACGCGAAGAACCUUACCAGGUCUUGACAUACUAUGCAAAUCUAAGAGAUUAGACGUUCCCUUCGGGGACAUGGAUACAGGUGGUGCAUGGUUGUCGUCAGCUCGUGUCGUGAGAUGUUGGGUUAAGUCCCGCAACGAGCGCAACCCUUAUUAUCAGUUGCCAGCAUUAAGUUGGGCACUCUGGUGAGACUGCCGGUGACAAACCGGAGGAAGGUGGGGAUGACGUCAAAUCAUCAUGCCCCUUAUGACCUGGGCUACACACGUGCUACAAUGGAUGGUACAACGAGUUGCGAACUCGCGAGAGUAAGCUAAUCUCUUAAAGCCAUUCUCAGUUCGGAUUGUAGGCUGCAACUCGCCUACAUGAAGUCGGAAUCGCUAGUAAUCGCGGAUCAGCAUGCCGCGGUGAAUACGUUCCCGGGCCUUGUACACACCGCCCGUCACACCAUGAGAGUUUGUAACACCCAAAGUCGGUGGGGUAACCUUUUAGGAACCAGCCGCCUAAGGUGGGACAGAUGAUUAGGGUGAAGUCGUAACAAGGUAGCCGUAGGAGAACCUGCGGUUGGAUCACCUCCUUAGAUU
rnacentral:rRNA from 2 species